GCCUGCGGGUGAAGGCAAAGACCGAACGCUUUUAGGCAUCCGAAAUAUUCCAUGAAACGUGAGUGCACAGAUGAAAUACCGAACGUUCAGGCUGCGGUGUGUUCUAAGCACUGGGAAUACAUCACUGCAUUCCAUUUAAUAUACGACGACCUACCGCGGACUAAAUGUACCCAAAUCUACCGCGAAAGAAGAAACUGUCGUCGCCAAACGAUUUAUUUCGAGUAUCUGUCAUUUUCUCAUACGCGGCGAACAACGACGGGUUUUAUUUUUUAAAUCAAACGUAGAGGCACGUACCACGCUUCCAGUGUCACGUUGUGUUCCGGUCAAGCACUUGAUAGGCCUACACGAAGACGACUUUGCUGGACAGUAAAACGCACUGAGGUUCAAGUUGCCUGGGCUGUGGAGAAGAGGAUGGGGUUGUGAUGAAGAGGAUGGGGCUGUGAUGGAGGGGCCUGGGCUGUGAUGAAGAGGACGGGGCUGUGACGAAGAGG